UGAGGAAUAUUGGUCAAUGGACGAGAGUCUGAACCAGCCAAGUAGCGUGAAGGAUGAAGGUCCUACGGAUUGUAAACUUCUUUUAUAAGGGAAUAAAACCUUCCACGUGUGGGAGCUUGUAUGUACCUUAUGAAUAAGCAUCGGCUAACUCCGUGCCAGCAGCCGCGGUAAUACGGAGGAUGCGAGCGUUAUCCGGAUUUAUUGGGUUUAAAGGGAGCGCAGACGGGUCGUUAAGUCAGCUGUGAAAGUUUGGGGCUCAACCUUAAAAUUGCAGUUGAUACUGGCGUCCUUGAGUGCGGUUGAGGUGUGCGGAAUUCGUGGUGUAGCGGUGAAAUGCUUAGAUAUCACGAAGAACUCCGAUUGCGAAGGCAGCACACUAAGCCGUAACUGACGUUCAUGCUCGAAAGUGUGGGUAUCAAACAGG
rnacentral:rRNA from 1 species